rnacentral:rRNA from 1 species
UACGGAGGGGGCUAGCGUUGUUCGGAAUUACUGGGCGUAAAGCGCACGUAGGCGGCUUUCUAAGUCGGGGGUGAAAUCCUGGAGCUCAACUCCAGAACUGCCUUCGAUACUGGAGAGCUCGAGUCCGGGAGAGGUGAGUGGAACUGCGAGUGUAGAGGUGAAAUUCGUAGAUAUUCGCAAGAACACCAGUGGCGAAAGGCGGCUC